GACGAACGCUGGCGGCGUGCUUAACACAUGCAAGUCGAACGGAAAGGCCCUGCUUUUGUGGGGUGCUCGAGUGGCGAACGGGUGAGUAACACGUGAGUAACCUGCCCUUGACUUUGGGAUAACUUCAGGAAACUGGGGCUAAUACCGGAUAGGAGCUCCUGCUGCAUGGUGGGGGUUGGAAAGUUUCGGCGGUUGGGGAUGGACUCGCGGCUUAUCAGCUUGUUGGUGGGGUAGUGGCUUACCAAGGCUUUGACGGGUAGCCGGCCUGAGAGGGUGACCGGCUACAUUGGGACUGAGAUACGGCCCAGACUCCUACGGGAGGCAGCAGUGGGGAAUAUUGCACAAUGGGCGGAAGCCUGAUGCAGCAACGCCGCGUGCGGGAUGACGGCCUUCGGGUUGUAAACCGCUUUCGCCUGUGACGAAGCGUGAGUGACGGUAAUGGGUAAAGAAGCACCGGCUAACUACGUG
rnacentral:rRNA from 1 species